GACGAACGCUGGCGGCGUGCUUAACACAUGCAAGUCGAACGGAAAGGCCCUGCUUUUGUGUGGUUCUCGAGUGGCGAACGGGUGAGUAACACGUGAGUAACCUGCCCUUGACUUUGGGAUAACUUCAGGAAACUGGGGCUAAUACCGGAUAGGAGCUCCUGCUGCAUGGUGGGGGGUGGAAAGUUUCGGCGGUUGGGGAUGGACUCGCGGCUUAUCAGCUUGUUGGUGGGGUAGUGGCUUACCAAGGCUUUGACGGGUAGCCGGCCUGAGAGGGUGACCGGCCACAUUGGGACUGAGAUACGGACCAGACUCCUACGGGAGGCAGCAGUGGGGAAUAUUGCACAAUGGGCGGAAGCCUGAUGCAGCAACGCCGCGUGCGGGAUGACGGCCUUCGGGUUGUAAACCGCUUUCGCCUGUGACGAAGCGUGAGUGACGGUAAUGGGUAAAGAAGCACCGGCUAACUACGUG
rnacentral:rRNA from 1 species